rnacentral:rRNA from 1 species
CGGGUGAGUAACACGUGGAUAACCUACCUAUAAGACUGGGAUAACUUCGGGAAACCGGAGCUAAUACCGGAUAAUAUUUUGAACCGCAUGGUUCAAAAGUGAAAGACGGUCUUGCUGUCACUUAUAGAUGGAUCCGCGCUGCAUUAGCUAGUUGGUAAGGUAACGGCUUACCAAGGCAACGAUGCAUAGCCGACCUGAGAGGGUGAUCGGCCACACUGGAACUGAGACACGGUCCAGACUCCUACGGGAGGCAGCAGNU